rnacentral:lncRNA from 1 species
UUCAGACAUGACUGCACGAACAGGAUAUGUUUUUAAGGGCGCCUGUACAUGGAGUUACGGCUGACCAGGAGAAAUAUCACACCUGGAAGUUUAAAGUCCCACAGGAACAAGUGGCCCUAUCUCACCAACACGCCCUCUCUGCAAGAAAUGCUGCCACAUCAGCCGGGGCGAGCCGGGCCUCCAGCGCUGCACUCCCCCACC